GGGAGGCGGCUGGUGUUCCGCGGCACCGCCGCCAGGCCGCACCCCCUUCGCCCCCGAGGCGCGGCCCUGGGGACCCGGAGCCCCCCACCGCCGACCGCCAACCGACCGGGCGCCCGCACCUGCGGCCCUCAGCGGGAGCCGCGCUCAGUCCCGCAGGGGAGCAGCAGCGGGUCAAACCUCACCCAGGAACGGCGCGGCCCUGCACGCCCGGGGCUCCCAGCGCGGCUUCGCGGUGCGGCAGGACGGAGCCCGCGGUCGGUCGGAGGCACCGGGAAGCGGGCGGCCCGCUGUGCUGUUGCAUCGUUUCAGACCAAAAAGUAGUACAGAAACGGUCCAGCCCACCCGCAACGGCUGACCCCCGGGCCGAAGCCCCGCAGAGCUGGGGACAGGCCCAGAGAGGGGUCCUCGGACACCGAGGAAGGUGCUCUGGCUUCUGACGCUCCCUCUAGGACUUGAGAAGCGACCUCCCUCAGGUUUCCUCUCCCUUCUCCAUCACUGCAAUGAGAACGUCAGGUGGCCCUUGCGUAGAGAAGUAUUUUUUUCUCCUGGAGCAGACAAAUGGCUCCGGGACAAGGCUGAAGUAGGAAGUGGCAGGAGACAGGAGAGCUUUUGCCUGGUGAUCAUCAGGACGCGGGAGGGUGAACAUUUUCUUCUCGUUUACUCACAGGCUACAUCUCUCAGCACGAGAACGGCUGAAGGCAAGCUCCACAGGGAAGAUGAAAAAUCUUACCCAUUUGGACUGCAGACAAGACCCGCGGGGCCAAAGCAGAGGGAGACACAGAAGGCUCGAAGGGACAGCCAGCCUGCUGGAAAGGCCGCUCGCAAUGGACGCUAG
rnacentral:lncRNA from 1 species